UGCACCGUAGAGCAGAGGUCAGCUCACUGGGCCCAUAACCCGGAGGUCGCAUGUUCGAAUCAUGCCGGUGCUACAA
rnacentral:tRNA from 1 species